GACGUAGGUCCCGAGCGUUGCCCGGUUUUACUGGGCGUAAAGUGCGCGUAGGCGGUUCGGCAAGUCGACUGUGAAAUUCCGGGGCUCAACCCCGGGGUGCCGGGUGAAACUGCCGGCCUAGAGGACGGCAGGGGAGGGUGGAGCGGCCGGAGUAGCGGUGAAAUGCGUAGAUACCUGCUGAAGUACCGAUGGCGAAGGCAACCCUCUCGACCGUUCCUGACGCUUAGGCGCGAAAGCGUGGGGAGCGAACUGG
rnacentral:rRNA from 1 species